GUGUUUGUCUUUUUGUGAUUAGGCUUAUUUCACUUAGUAUAAUAUCCUUAAAAUUUGUCUAAUGAAUUUAUUUUUUCGUGCUAUUGGGAUUAAACCCAGGGGCACUCUAACAUUAAGCUAUAACUCCAACCCUUUUUUGAAGACAAGUUUUCUUGACAUAGCUGAGGCUGGCCUCAAAGUUUGAUCCUUCUGCCUUAGUCACCCAAGUGGCUGGGAUUAACAGAUAUACAUUACCAUGACCAGUUAUAUGGACUUCUUUUGGGAUUAGUAAAGCAACUUCACAUUCUUGAAUUAGAUUCCAUUCAGGCAUUAUGUGUUACCUUUUUUAUGUACUUUUGAAUAAGAUUUGUCAAAUUUUAGCUUUUUUUGUACCUUUAUUUUAUUUAUUUUUGGGUGGUGCUGGGGAUCGAAUCCAGGGCCAUGCACAGGCUAGGUGAACGCUCAACCAUUGAGCCACAACCCUAGCCCCAAAUUUUGUACUUUUAUAUAGGGUUUGGUGUCUGUCCAUGUUGUCUUAUGUUUCCUUUUUUGGUUUAAAAAAGUUUUAAAUUUAACUGAGGCAUAAAAUUUGUACAACUCUGUGGGGUACCAUGGGAUGUUUCAGUACUGUUUCCUAUCAUGUAAUAGCUUUACCAGAGUUUGUUUCAGAUUAUAAUGGACUCAUAAAAUGAAUUUAGAUUUAUUUCAUUUUUUAUGUUUUCUUUCUUGUUUUGUUUGGUUUUGGUUCUCUGUAAAAUAUUAUAUAAGAUUAAUAUUAUUGGUAUUAUAGUUGACAUAAAUGAGCUAGGAGUUUUCUUUGUGAAAAUAUUUAAGUUAUAAAU
rnacentral:lncRNA from 1 species